rnacentral:rRNA from 1 species
AACGAACGCUGGCGGCAGGCCUAACACAUGCAAGUCGAACGCCGUAGCAAUACGGAGUGGCAGACGGGUGAGUAACGCGUGGGAACCUACCUUACGGUCGGGAAUAGCUCAGGGAAACUUGGGGUAAUACCGGAUACGCCUUACGGGAAGAUUUAUCGCCGUUAGAUGGGCCCGCGUAGGAUUAGCUAGUUAGUGAGGUAAUGGCUCACCAAGGCGACGAUCCUUAGCUGGUCUGAGAGGAUGAUCAGCCACACUGGGACUGAGACACGGCCCAGACUCCUACGGGAGGCAGCAGUGGGGAAGUAUUGGACAAUGGGCGGCAAGCCUGAUCCAGCCAUGCCGCGUGAGUGACGAAGGCCUUAGGGUUGUAAAGCUCUUUGG